GCAGUCGACGCUUCUUUUUCCACCGGAGCUUGCUCCACCGGAAAAAGAGGAGUGGCGAACGGGUGAGUAACACGUGGGUAACCUGCCCAUCAGAAGGGGAUAACACUUGGAAACAGGUGCUAAUACCGUAUAACAAUCGAAACCGCAUGGUUUUGAUUUGAAAGGCGCUUUCGGGUGUCGCUGAUGGAUGGACCCGCGGUGCAUUAGCUAGUUGGUGAGGUAACGGCUCACCAAGGCGACGAUGCAUAGCCGACCUGAGAGGGUGAUCGGCCACAUUGGGACUGAGACACGGCCCAAACUCCUACGGGAGGCAGCAGUAGGGAAUCUUCGGCAAUGGACGAAAGUCUGACCGAGCAACGCCGCGUGAGUGAAGAAGGUUUUCGGAUCGUAAAACUCUGUUGUUAGAGAAGAACAAGGAUGAGAGUAACUGUUCAUCCCUUGACGGUAUCUAACCAGAAAGCCACGGCUAACUACGUGCCAGCAGCCGCGGUAAUACGUAGGUGGCAAGCGUUGUCCGGAUUUAUUGGGCGUAAAGCGAGCGCAGGCGGUUUCUUAAGUCUGAUGUGAAAGCCCCCGGCUCAACCGGGGAGGGUCAUUGGAAACUGGGAGACUUGAGUGCAGAAGAGGAGAGUGGAAUUCCAUGUGUAGCGGUGAAAUGCGUAGAUAUAUGGAGGAACACCAGUGGCGAAGGCGGCUCUCUGGUCUGUAACUGACGCUGAGGCUCGAAAGCGUGGGGAGCAAACAGGAUUAGAUACCCUGGUAGUCCACGCCGUAAACGAUGAGUGCUAAGUGUUGGAGGGUUUCCGCCCUUCAGUGCUGCAGCUAACGCAUUAAGCACUCCGCCUGGGGAGUACGACCGCAAGGUUGAAACUCAAAGGAAUUGACGGGGGCCCGCACAAGCGGUGGAGCAUGUGGUUUAAUUCGAAGCAACGCGAAGAACCUUACCAGGUCUUGACAUCCUUUGACCACUCUAGAGAUAGAGCUUCCCCUUCGGGGGCAAAGUGACAGGUGGUGCAUGGUUGUCGUCAGCUCGUGUCGUGAGAUGUUGGGUUAAGUCCCGCAACGAGCGCAACCCUUAUUGUUAGUUGCCAUCAUUUAGUUGGGCACUCUAGCAAGACUGCCGGUGACAAACCGGAGGAAGGUGGGGAUGACGUCAAAUCAUCAUGCCCCUUAUGACCUGGGCUACACACGUGCUACAAUGGGAAGUACAACGAGUCGCAAAGUCGCGAGGCUAAGCUAAUCUCUUAAAGCUUCUCUCAGUUCGGAUUGUAGGCUGCAACUCGCCUACAU
rnacentral:rRNA from 1 species